ACUGUGCCACUUUGGCGGGCUGUUGAGGAGGGAGAGGAUACAAGACAUUUAUGGGCCAUGUGUCACAGCUCCUGCAGGAAGUGUUUGUGUGAUGGGGAAGAAAACUAAUGGGGAAGGAAACGAGCAAGGAUAUUUAUUUCACCAAAGAUUACUUGUUGAGCUCAAUGGGGACCACCGAUGACCAAGGUUCCAAGGGACUUUAGGGAUUUGAUGAAGAUUAAAAACACUUUCCAGAUAAUUAUUUUGAAAU